rnacentral:lncRNA from 1 species
AGUUCUGGGCUCUGCCCUCUUGUGUGGCCUGGUUUGCCCUCUUCUUCCUUUCCUAGGCCCCCUUGUCUCCCCUGGCUCUCACAUACUCUUUCCAGCUGCCUCCCAAGCCAGCCCUACAGUCUGAUGAACAUUCUAGAGUAUGUGGACACAGAUGGACGCUCUGGCCACAGGCUCUGGCUCUUAGGUUCCCUGGACUUCUCCACACAUCUCCUUCAUCCAGUGUGAUCCUCCCUACGGGUCUCUUCGCUGCAGCUCAGGUCUGAUCUAGGAAGAAGAGUGGGCUUAAUUGGAAGACGGGAUGAGGGUAUAAAGAGGAGACUUGGGGGACCUGGGCUCUUCUUUCUUUGGCCUCCUUAUGCCCAGAAUCUCUCCCUUUUCUGUUUCCUCUGCUCAAGCUGUGUGUUGGUUUCCCAUCUCUUCUGACUGCAUCUGAUUGACUGGCCUUUCCUUCUUCCUUCCUUAUUUUGUUCUCUGUUCUCCCUCCCCUGCUGUUUUUGCUAUUGGUAACCAACUCUUCAUCCUCAGCACAGGGCCCAUGCUCUGGUUGCCUAGCUCAGUGGUCAGAACACAGAGGGCUGUUGAACAGGAGUCUGGCCACACAUGAGUGUGUCUGUAGGUGGGGUUGAGGGGAGACUCAAAGAGAUGUCUUCCAAUCCCAUUGUCUUUCAGACCUACAUUCCUAAAGCUACCCCGAGCAGCCCAGCUGUGGCAGAGUAUCUCGGGAACUAGCUUGGCUUAGCUGGAGCGGACUCACUCACUCUUUUUUCUACCCCCAGGCCCGCCAGUGAUUUAGUUCCUGAUCCUUCCAAAAUCUGGUCCCCCUGUUGUCUGCUUUCUCUUGAGAUGGCUUGCCACACCUAGGGCCAAACUCUAUCUUCCAGCAGCUGCAGAGGUCAAAAGCCUUGCAAAUGGAAGUCACAGAGGGGACGUGAAGGAAGAAAUGAAUACUGCAGACCAGGGGGUGUGUCCUGGGAGGAUGGGGAGGAAGAAAGAUAGGCUAAGGUUACUGUCCUCCUGGCUAAGUGGAAGGGGCAAGGGACACUGUGGAUAGCUGUGUUUGGAAUGUCACUUGACUACAUCUCUCAUCCCGUGUCCUCUCAGAGACCUGCCUGGGAUGGGAUCUAAGGGGACAUUACUACAUCUGCUGAGGGGGUCAUACCUUUGCCGACUGAAAAGUCACUGGUCAGUUCCUACACCCCAGGACUUCUGUGGCCCAGCUCUGCAUAUUAUCAGCGUAGGAUACUAACUAGCAGUGGCACCUAGGUGCUUGCUUGGUGGAUGAGCUUCAGAGUUCAGCUUGUUGACCUGGGACUCGGCGAUGUCCGCCCUCUCCUCCGCCUCAUCCAGCUCGUGCUGCACCUUGCGGAACUUGGACAGCCUCCAGCUCAUUCUCCAGCUCCCGGACCCGGGCCUCCAGCUUCUGCAGCUGCUUCUUGCCGCCCUUGAGGGCGAUCUGCUCUGCCUCGUCCAGACGGUGCUGCAAGUCCUUGAUGGUCUGCUCCAUGUUCUUCUUCAUGCGCUCCAGGUCGUCAUUGGCACGGACAGCAUCAUCCAGCUGGAUUUGAGUGUCCUGAGGAUCAGAAAAAUGAGUGGCCUCAUUGCGGCUGCGUGUCUCCGCAUCCAGGGAGGUCUGCAGGGAGUCCACCAUCCGCAGGUGGUUGCGCUUGGCCUGCUCCAUCUCCUCAUCCUUCUCUGCCAGCUUCCUUUCAAUCUCUGCCUUGAUCUGGUUGAACUCUAGCUGGGCGCGGAGGAUCUUGCCCUCCUCGUGCUCCAGGGAGGCCUGGAAAGGAUAUAGAUUUUGCAGGCAUAUAGUCAGAGACCAGGGUGGAAGCAAGGGUGUGUCUAAAAACCAUGGCACAGAGAGCAUUUGGGGAUGGUAUACAUGACUCAGUAGGAGAUGCAGUGGAAGGAAAUGAGAAAGAGUGUGCACAAGAGAAAUGAAAGCAAGCUGAAGAGAAGGGGAUGCAGACUCCCAGGGGGGCGGAGGGAGUCAGCUUUGAAGACAAAGAGGAAAAUGAAAAGUGUUGCCAAGGAAACAGAGGCAAUGAAGCAGAGAGUAAAGGAACAAAAAAAAAAAAACCACCACACACAGGCAGGCAGAGGUGGAAAGUGGAAUGAGCUGAAAUAGGAGUCUUUCUAAGGUACAGUAAAUAAAAUGUUUGUGUGAAGGAACUUGA